rnacentral:rRNA from 1 species
AUACGGAGGGGGCUAGCGUUGUUCGGAAUUACUGGGCGUAAAGCGCGCGUAGGCGGAUUGAUCAGUCAGAGGUGAAAUCCCGAGGCUUAACCUCGGAACUGCCUUUGAUACUGUCAAUCUUGAGUUCGAGAGAGGUGAGUGGAAUUCCUAGUGUAGAGGUGAAAUUCGUAGAUAUUAGGAAGAACACCAGUGGCGAAGGCGGCUCACUGGCUCGAUACUGACGCUGAGGUACGAAAGUGUGGGGAGCAAACAGGAUUAGAAACCCUAGUAGUCC